rnacentral:rRNA from 1 species
UACGAAGGGGGCAAGCGUUGUUCGGAAUUACUGGGCGUAAAGGGCGCGUAGGCGGCCUUCUAAGUCGAACGUGAAAUCCCCGGGCUCAACCCGGGAACUGCGUCCGAUACUGGAAGGCUAGAAUCCGGGAGAGGGAUGCGGAAUUCCAGGUGUAGCGGUGAAAUGCGUAGAUAUCUGGAGGAACACCGGUGGCGAAGGCGGCAUCCUGGACCGGUAUUGACGCUGAGGCGCGAAAGCCAGGGGAGCAAACGGG